rnacentral:tRNA from 1 species
GUCUUCGUAGUAUAACAAUUACCUUGGUCUUGUAAACCAAAAAUGGAGAACACCACAACUCUCCCUAAGGCU